CCUACGGGUGGCAGCAGUGAGGAAUAUUGGUCAAUGGGCGAGAGCCUGAACCAGCCAAGUCGCGUGAGGGAGUACUGCCCUAUGGGUUGUAAACCUCUUUUGUCGGGGAGCAAAAGCCGGACGUGUCCGGCUGUGAGAGUACCCGAAGAAAAAGCAUCGGCUAACUCCGUGCCAGCAGCCGCGGUAAUACGGAGGAUGCGAGCGUUAUCCGGAUUUAUUGGGUUUAAAGGGUGCGCAGGCGGAUUUUUAAGUCAGCGGUAAAAUCGUGGGGAUCAACCCCAUCCAGCCGUUGAAACUGGGGAUCUAGAGUGUGCGAGAGGUAUGCGGAAUGCGUGGUGUAGCGGUGAAAUGCAUAGAUAUCACGCAGAACCCCGAUUGCGAAGGCAGCAUACCGGUGCACAACUGACGCUCAGGCACGAAAGCGUGGGUAUCGAACAGGAUUAGAUACCCCGGUAGUC
rnacentral:rRNA from 1 species